rnacentral:rRNA from 1 species
UACGGGGGGAGCGAGCGUUAUUCGGAUUCACUGGGCGUAAAGGGUUCGUAGGCGGUCGAAUAGGUCAGAGGUGAAAUCCAACGGCUCAACCGUUGAACUGCCUUUGAAACCAUUCGACUUGAGGACAUGAGAGGAAAGCGGAAUUCUCGGUGUAGCGGUGAAAUGCGUGGAUAUCGAGAGGAACACCGGUGGCGAAGGCGGCUUUCUGGCGUGUUUCUGACGCUGAGGAACGAAAGCUAGGGGAGCGAACAGG